rnacentral:rRNA from 1 species
GAUGAACGCUAGCUACAGGCUUAACACAUGCAAGUCGAGGGGAAACGAUAUUGGAAGCUUGCUUCCGAUAGGCGUCGACCGGCGCACGGGUGAGUAACGCGUAUCCAACCUGCCCAUCACUUGGGGAUAACCUUGCGAAAGUAAGACUAAUACCCAAUGAUAUCUCUAGAAGACAUCUGAAGGAGAUUAAAGAUUUAUCGGUGAUGGAUGGGGAUGCGUCUGAUUAGCUUGUUGGCGGGGUAACGGCCCACCAAGGCUACGAUCAGUGGGGGUUCUGAGAGGAAGGUCCCCCACAUUGGAACUGAGACACGGUCCAAACUCCUACGGGAGGCAGCAGUGAGGAAUAUUGGUCAAUGGGCGAGAGCCUGAACCAGCCAAGUAGCGUGCAGGAUGACGGCCCUAUGGGUUGUAAACUGCUUUUAUAAGGGAAUAAAGUGGGAGUCGUGACUCCUUUUGCAUGUACCUUAUGAAUAAGGACCGGCUAAUUCCGUGCCAGCAGCCGCCGCAG